rnacentral:rRNA from 1 species
AAAUUGAAGAGUUUGAUCAUGGCUCAGAUUGAACGCUGGCGGCAGGCCUAACACAUGCAAGUCGAACGGUAACAGGAAUCAGCUUGCUGAUUUGCUGACGAGUGGCGGACGGGUGAGUAAUGUCUGGGAAACUGCCUGAUGGAGGGGGAUAACUACUGGAAACGGUAGCUAAUACCGCAUAACGUCGCAAGACCAAAGAGGGGGACCUUCGGGCCUCUUGCCAUCGGAUGUGCCCAGAUGGGAUUAGCUAGUAGGUGGGGUAAAGGCUCACCUAGGCGACGAUCCCUAGCUGGUCUGAGAGGAUGACCAGCCACACUGGAACUGAGACACGGUCCAGACUCCUACGGGAGGCAGCAGUGGGGAAUAUUGCACAAUGGGCGCAAGCCUGAUGCAGCCAUGCCGCGUGUAUGAAGAAGGCCUUCGGGUUGUA